AUCAAUGGGUGAUCAAUGGGUGAUCAAUGAGGCCCAUUGCCUAGGUCAGUGGCCUCCAUUGCACGUCAGAGGGGUGCUGCCCUAAGGUCUGUCCAACGUGGCAGAGCCUACGUCAGAAUUUGUGGCAGUGGGGGCCUGCGUUCGCGCGGCCCCUG